UACGGAGGAUGCGAGCGUUAUCCGGAUUUAUUGGGUUUAAAGGGUGCGCAGGCGGCACGGCAAGCCGGCGGUCAAAUCGCGGGGCUCAACCCCGCCCAGCCGUCGGAACUGCCGGGCUAGAGCGGGCGAGAAGUGCGCGGAAUGCGUGGUGUAGCGGUGAAAUGCAUAGAUAUCACGCAGAACUCCGAUUGCGAAGGCAGCGCACCGGCGCCCUACUGACGCUCAGGCACGAAAGCGUGGGUAUCGAACAGG
rnacentral:rRNA from 1 species